UUGGUCUCAAAAGCAAGGAAAAGCCCACAAGUCAUGGGACACAAUAGUAUUUCACUUGAAAAUUGGAACACCAAAAUUAUUGUCAUUGCUUACAUAUCCUGUAACUGAUACAGAUUACAUACAACCAAUCCAUUUAAUGAAAUCUCCAGUCCAAAAAAAAAAAAAAAAGGGGUUCAGAUGUGACCAAUCUAAUGCACAAAUUUCAAA